UACGUAGGGGGCAAGCGUUGUCCGGAUUUAUUGGGCGUAAAGAGCGUGUAGGCGGCUUUACAGGUCCGUUGUGAAAACUCGAGGCUCAACCUCGAGACGCCGGUGGAAACCGUAAAGCUAGAGUCCGGAAGAGAAGAGUGGAAUUCCACGUGUAGCGGUGAAAUGCGUAGAGAUGUGGAGGAACACCAGUGGCGAAGGCGACUCUUUGGUCUGUAACUGACGCUGAGGCGCGAAAGCGUGGGGAGCAAACAGG
rnacentral:rRNA from 1 species